GAUUGGAGAUUCUAGCUUUCCCUUGCAUUCAGUUUGGUGGGCAAGAACCUGGAUCAAACCCAAAAAUCAAGCAAUUUGCUUGUACAAGGUUCAUGUCAAUGGGCCAAGUAUAGCUCCAGUUUACCAGUUCCUGUAAUUGAGCGCUGGAGGGUUUUUAGGUGAUCUUAUAAAGUGGAAUUUUGAAAAGUUCUUGGUGGACAAAAAUGGUAAAGUUGUUGAAAGAUACCAACCAACAACAUCACCUUUUCAAAUUGAGAAGGAUAUCCAAAGGCACC